UGGUAUUUUUUUUUAUCAAAGAUAUGUGUUUGGGACUUCGGAUACGACGGUGGACGGUUAAACAAAAGCUAUCAUUGAUAUUUGUUGCUUAGCAAGUGUAGAUUGAAGCAGACUUGCCAUCAUACAGACAUAACAGGCGAAGUUUUUGAAGAAAGCGGCGCAACAUGGCGCAUACACAUAGUUCCCAAAAUUACUUCAGGCAAGGUACUUAUAGUCAAGACUUCAGACAGCACCAACAGGUUUUGGUGGCACCCACCUUGCAAAGAAAGCAAGAACCAACUACGUGUGUGAAUGGAAAGGUAACUAAUUCAUCUUAAUACUUACAUUGCAUUCAAUUUGUAAAAAAACUUUCUUAACAGCUAUUUCUGGCAGACCGAUUUUCUUUAUA